rnacentral:rRNA from 1 species
GAUGAACGCUGACAGAAUGCUUAACACAUGCAAGUCUUUGGCGAAGCUGUGCUUGCACAGCCUAGCCAAGGCGGACGGGUGAGUAACGCGUAAGGAACUUGCCCUGCAGUCAGGGAUAACAGACGGAAACGACUGAUAAGACCUGGUAAAGUCAGGCGGACUCAUGUCCAGCCUGAUGAAAAGAGAUGCUGCAGGAGAGCCUUGCGUCCUAUUAGCUUGUUGGUGGGGUAACGGCCCACCAAGGCGAUGAUAGGUAGCCGGCCUGAGAGGGUGGACGGCCACAAGGGGACUGAGAUACGGCCCUUACUCCUACGGGAGGCAGCAGUGGGGAAUAUUGGACAAUGGGGGCAACCCUGAUCCAGCAAUUCUGUGUGCACGAUGAAGGUUUUCGGAUUGUAAAGUGCUUUCAGCAGGGAGGAAAAAAAUGACGGUACCGGCAGAAGAAGCGACGGCUAAAUACGUG